GAAUAUAUUUCCAAUUAAUAUGAUUAGCAAGUUCUGCAAAGACAUUGUUGUCCUAAAGAUGGCAUAUUUCAAAAAAAUGCUAUAAGAGUCAUCUGUGGAGCAAAAUAUAAGGAAUCAUGCUGUGGCUUGUUUCCAAAAAUUGGUGUGCUAACCGUAGUCAACAUGUAUAUUCUAAAAGCCAUUUUACUUGUUAGACGACUGCAACGUUUGUUCUGAUUUGUAAGAGUACAGUACCAGAAAUAAACAAAAAUCUUACAUCAGCAGGCUCAGAACAGCACUCUAUGAAAAGGAUUGAAUUGCCCUCUCUGUUUAUUGAUUGGAUAGCCACUGAAUUGCUAUUUAUUUAUUUAAUGGGAUAAUAAUAAUUAUUAAAAGGUGGCACUUUUAUUUAAGCACUGUUUUUACUCUUUCAAUUGUUGCGAGUCAGCGAUAGUGCAAUGCUGCUCGCUUUGAAGAAUACACAUUUUAUAAGAAUUAUUUGGUCCAGGAAACACUUUUGCGAUCACAGUUGCGAUUUAGACGGUAUUCGUGUAAUUGUACUGAUUAAAAGUUAUCGUUUCUGAAAGACGCAGCUUCGAUUAAAGCUGUAUGCACUUUUGCGCGUAUAAUGAAAAUAUUCAUAACACAUCGCAUAACAAAAAGAAACACGCAAAUCACAACCGUGAUCAAAUGAAGAAAAUAUAUGAUAACAUAAAUGUUCUUCGCUGUUAUUCAGGACAGGCUCAGAUUAGACCUUGUAAUUUUUAGUUAUAGGAAAUCACAAGACGUUACACUUUAGAGAUAUUUGUUUUGAAUAACUUGUAUUUACCUUCUCUCUCUCUCUCUCUCUCUCUCUCUCUCUCUCUCUCUCUCUCCUUUUUACAGCCUUUAUACCUUCACAUCGAUUAAGGAACUUUUCCUCCUCUACCGACCAGUACGAGAACAAAAUUCAGACUCAACAAAAUGUCUUACAUUGAAUUAUUACAUGCUUAACCCUUAACAAUCAUAUAUAGUUUCGUAAUACAAACAAUACUAAUUUCUUCCAUGCACUAGAAAGUCUUUGAUACACUGAGCACAAAAAUGAAAAUAAUAAAAUUAUAAUUAGAUUUUUAAUAUCAUGAAUACUUCUUUAAAUCAUGAAAAUAAGGUUUGACAUCGUCGUAAUAUUAAUUUUCAUCGUUGUAGCACUACAUUGCCCCCUUUGGAUGUACAGUCACACUUGUUUGACUGGACAUCCAAGCAGGCUUAUUUUCCUUGUCUGUUCUGUUUAAAGUUCACUGUGUUCUUUCACUUGGAAGCAUGUGCUUUGUUUACUUUUAAGUCUCAGGGAUUUUGAGUUACGCUCCCCCAUUCGGACAAAGGCCAAUGGGAAAAACCCCGGAAAAAAACCACGGCGGAGCGAGCACAUCUUCCGUACCCUCUUUUUUAAUUUUCAACAUUUUAAUAUUCACUUCGUAUGACAUUUAAUAAUGGUACAAUUUCGUGAUAGUGCUGCUGGUGACGACGGCUGGCGACUUGAUGUACUGCAACAACAAUGUCUCGCCCCAUCAGGUAAGUCUGCGAUGGACUGCGAUGACGUGGCAGGGUGCGGCAAGGGAUGACGGAUGAUAUCGCUGCAGUAUGCUGCCCUCACCGACACGUGUGCUCAGCAUCCCAGCAUACAGUCACAUGAAAUUCAAACAGCUUAAAUUAAAGUGAGUACAGCAAGAUCUGAUCUUUGUUUGUCAACUGCGUGCAAUCCACUAUGGCACCAAGCAUGCAGCCGUUAAAGACUGAAAUCCCCAAAAGCAUUAGAUUAGAUUCACCUACAGUACCUCAAUUCAUUUAUUUGUAAAUAUUAUUUUGCUUUGAUCAGUGUGUUAGAUUACCUUCAUCCACUGUUUCUGGAGAUCAUUUAUUUGUAAUUAUAUUUUGCUUCAAUCAUUGUGUUAGAUUAGAUACACAUAUGGUACCAAGUUCAUUUAUUUGUAUUGUUUCAGCAUUUUACUCACCACAUCUAACACACCUGUGGUAUCCAUCUGUUAUGUUCAGCGAGGAACACAACUGCCACACUGGUGACCCCAGCGUAACCUGACCCCUCACCACCCAGUCUGAGCUCUUUACAGUGGCCAGCCACACAAUAAUGCAUGAGGAGAGCUGCAACGAGGUGUGCCGAGGCUUGUGCAUACUGGAACCAUCGAUGCUGUGGCGAGGAGGUUCAUCAUUUAUGGCCCAGGCAUGUGUUCCUGUCGUAAUCCACAUAUAUCAGUGGUUGAGCUAUCAUCAUCCUGAAGGCACUUUAAUGGGUUCAAGAUGCUGAGGAAAGACAGCUUCAUAACAAGAAAUCACAAUAAGCCUACAUUACUACAUUUAACUACACCUCUGACAAGUUUACUAGGAUGAGUCUACUGGUCUACAGGAAAUUCUACAGACAAGAAGAAGCAGUUUUACUUUACUAUUGCAACCUUCAUUGAUCACGAGGAACUAUUGAGUACAUUAUUUUGUGAUUAUCUACUCAUGUUCAUCCACUUACGGUACUUUGUGUUUAUUAUCUAUUGAUACAUUCUGACAGUACAAUAUUGUGUUACACAAGUCUCUUCAUCAACUGUAAUCAGUUUACUUAAGUGUGAGUGACUUGUACUUCAUUUUACUCCAGAAUAUCACUCCUGUGUAUUCUGUUGUGCACGAGAAUUGUGACAAUGAAAAAGUGUGAAACAAUGUUGAGACAACUUGUGUCCAUGUGCAAAUGUACUGUAGUAACUCUUCCUUAGCGCUCUUCUCAGUCAUAUGGUCUUAUAAUGUGUGGUCUGACCAUUUUGAAUUCAGUGCACAAGACCCAAGUUCAACCUUUCUAGACAUUUGGCAUACUAUAGCUGUUUUGUACAUGCAUUUACACCAUCAUUCUCACACAUAUUUUUAUAUAUAUAAUUAAUCAUUUUUGGUGUGGCCUUUAUGCUUUGGUACCAAACACCUAACUAUUGUGUUCUCAGUUUUACCCAGGAUGUGACUGCAUUGUCUGCUGGAAGGACACUUAAAUAUUGACUUAAAACUAAGUGUAUAGUUGUUUGCUGACUAUUAAAUGUGGUCGACGUGAUUUAGUUAUUAAUAUUUUUUACUAUUUUUAUGAAUAAUGGUAAGUCUUUGAAGAUAUGUAGGAAGGGUGGCAGACUGAACAGCUGCUAUUGUUACAUUCACCUGAAAUACUACCAAUUCCCAUUAAUGUCUUAUAAAGUAAUGUCCACAGAUGUUGUCACUUUACCUCGUUUCUUCUUGAUGCUAAAUAAAACCCAACUCAAAACUUGUAAUAAACACUGUAUUGAAUACUUAUGAAACAAGAGAAGUCAUUAAUAAAA